GGAGACGUGGCCGAGUGGUCGAAGGCGCUCGCCUGCUAAGUGAGUAAACGGGGAACCGUUUCGAGGGUUCGAAUCCCUUCGUCUCCG
rnacentral:tRNA from 1 species